UAAAACGUAGGAGGCGAGCGUUAUCCGGAGUUACUGGGCGUAAAGCGCGUGUAGGCGGCUGUUUAAGUGUGCUGUGAAAUGUCCCGGCUCAACCGGGAAGGUGCGGCGCAGACUGGACGGCUGGAGGGUGACAGAGGCAGGUAGAAUUCCGGGUGUAGUGGUGAAAUGCGUAGAGAUCCGGAGGAAUACCAGUGGCGUAAGCGGCCUGCUGGGUCAAUCCUGACGCUGAGACGCGAAGGCAUGGGGAGCGAACGGGAUUAGAAACCCCGGUAGUCCAUGCAGUAAACGAUGCAGACUGGGUGUGUGCGUGAAUAACGUGCGUGCCGAAGCCAACGCGCUAAGUCUGCCGCCUGGGAAGUACGGUCGCAAGACUA
rnacentral:rRNA from 1 species